UGACAAAAGUCCGACAAUAAUAUAAUAUGUUCUCAUUGUAGCUGUGCCUGUGGAGAAUGGAUGAAUUACAUAAGACAAAAGUGACAGCCAGUAAUAAACAUUAGCGAAACACAGACAUGAUGGAAACACUUCCUUCCGAUGCAAAAACAAUAUUAAACAAUCUGAAUAUAAUGUGUACUUGUUUUAUUUGCAUGCACGUUUAAUGGUUAUACUAUAUAUGAUUCUAUUACAUCAAAAUAGAAACUUUACAAUUGUUUUCCUAAAAUCUGGUUUAACCACAAAAGAAUUAUGUCGUACGUGUUGCAUCACACGGAUCAUUCAUACUUUGAUAUUUUCUUAUGUCAGAUAAUUAUUAAAUGCUCUCUCGUGACUGAGUUUUAUAUCAAAUUCAAAAUAAUAAGCUACAAUUCUUACCAAUCAAGUGUUAUAUUACUACAAUUUAUAUCCUAAUGUCCGUUACUCAUUCAAAUUGAUUUCACUUUGCUAGUUUUCCUACAAAUAAUGUUAUUAUAGAACUUAACGUAUUGAAAAGUAUUCUAAACUGUCGGAAUAGUCUUUACUUUUAUCGUUGAAAGGGAAUUAUUUCAUAUUUAAUGUGCAGAUUGAUAAUGUUGAGUUGUGGCGACUUUCUGUGUGCCAAAAGUUCAAAAUAUUACAACUCUGACUGUACAAGGAAAAUGUUCGUAAAAGUUUACUUGGCUUGAUUGAAAGGAAUGAUUAGUUAUGUUUCAGUGUUGUUAUGAUAUUGUUAUUAUCAUGUUUAUUUAUCUUGGCCUAAUUUGUUUUGUGUGGCCUUAUAAUGUAUAAUAUGCUUACAUCAUAUUUAUAGUUUUUGUACAAAAUAAUGUUAUAAUUGUGGAGUUUAGAAAUCACUGUAACAAUCAUAGAUACUGAUGGAAUGAUUAGAACUUUCUAUUUGACUGACAUAAUAAUUCUGGAAUGAUUAUUAUAUACGAUGUGUAAUUUAAACUUCUACCGUAUUCUAGAAGUUUUCGUUCUACAAUUUUCUCGGAGUUUCCAUUCUACAGUGUUUUAGAAGUUUCCUUGACAAUGAUGUAUAAUAUGCUUACAUCAUAUUUAUAGUUUUUGUACAUAAUAAUGUUAUAAUUGUGCAGUUUAGAAAUCACUGUAACAAUCAUAGAUACUGAUGGAAUGAUUAUAACUUUCUAUUUGACUGACAUAAUAAUUCUGGAAUGAUUAUAAUAUACGAUGUGUUAUUUAAACUUCUACCGUAUUCUAGAAGUUUUCGUUCUACAAUUUUUUAGGAGUUUCCCUUCUACAGUGUUUGAGAAGUUUCCUUGACAACAGAUACCGAAAUUAGACUUUUUUAGACAUUAAUUUACUUGGAUUCAUAGAAGUUCUCUGGAGUUGUUGGAUUGACACUUUAUUUACGUUAACUACAUCUUACUAGAUUGGACAUAUUUCGUACAGUUAAUAGAAGAAUUCCGAAUAAAGAAAAGACACAGGAUCGAACAUAUAAUUUAACAGUUAAGUUAACAUUUCAAUUUGUAUAAUAUUUCUUGUAAACUUGUGUAUAAUUAAUCUUGUCAAAUUUUA